rnacentral:rRNA from 1 species
GACGUAGGGCGCGAGCGUUGUCCGGAUUUAUUGGGCGUAAAGAGCUCGUAGGCGGCUUGUUGCGUCGGCUGUGAAAUCCCAUGGCUCAACUGUGGGCUUGCAGCCGAUACGGGCGGGCUAGAGUUCGGUAGGGGAGACUGGAAUUCCUGGUGUAGCGGUGAAAUGCGCAGAUAUCAGGAGGAACACCGGUGGCGAAGGCGGUCUGCUGGGCAGUUUCUGACACUGAGGCGCGACAGCGUGGGGAGCAAACAGG